UACGUAGGGCGCGAGCGUUGUCCGGAAUUAUUGGGCGUAAAGAGCUCGUAGGCGGCCUGUUGCGUCCGCUGUGAAAUCCCGGGGCUUAACCCCGGGCGUGCAGUGGAUACGGGCUGGCUGGAGGCAGGCAGGGGAGAACGGAAUUCCCGGUGUAGCGGUGAAAUGCGCAGAUAUCGGGAGGAACACCGGUGGCGAAGGCGGUUCUCUGGGCCUGUACUGACGCUCAUGCACGAAAGCGUGGGGAGCAAACAGG
rnacentral:rRNA from 1 species